ensembl:lncRNA
AUGAACUCCAACUCAGAAGCAGCUGUGAUCGUGGCAGGAGACUUCAAUCAUGUGGAACUCAAAGCAGUGCUCCCCAAAUUUCAGAAGUUUAUUCACUUUCCCACCAGAGACAACAACAAACUGGAUCAAGUUUACUGCAAUAUCCCAGGUGCAUACAAGGCUGCAGCAGCUCCUCACCUGGGCAUGUCAGAUCACAUCUCUGUGGAGCUAACCCCCACAUACAGACCUCUGAUCUGCAGGACCAAACCAACCAUCAAAACAGUUCAGGUAUGGACCGAAGAGGCUUCUUCUGCACUACAGGACUGUUUUGAACUCACUGACUGGGAGGUGUUUAAAGAUGGCUCAGACCUGGAGGCCUACACAACAUCCGUCCUGAGCUAUGUGCAGUUCUGCACCGAUGCUGUUCUGCCCACAAAGUCCAUCAAAGUCUACCCAAACCAGAAACCAUGGUUUGAUGGAACAGUACAGUCUUUGCUCAAAGCUCGGGAUGCAGCCUACAGGUCAGGUGACAGGCUGGCCUACAGCAGAGCCCGGACAGAGCUGAGGAGGGGCAUCAACCAGGCCAAACGCAGACACAGACAACGGGUGGAACAGCACUUUGCUAAUAACAACCCGCGGGAGAUGUGGAGAGGCAUCAGAACCAUCACAGACCACAGGAGCAGCAUGCAGCAGACCACUCAUGACCCCACCCUGCCUGACACUCUAAACACCUUCUUUGCACACUUCGACACGCCCGGCAGCAGCAGAGACUCUGGUCCUCUAUUACAGCUGGAGGAGCAGUCCCAGCCUCUCGUCCUGCAGCUACGUCAGGUGAGCUCCACUCUGAGGAGGAUCGACACCAGCAAAGCCGCAGGACCAGAUAAGGUGUCAGUUCGGGUUCUGAAGCUGUGCGCACAUCAACUGGCUGGAGUUUUCCUGGACAUCUUCAAUUGGUCCCUGCAGCUCACCUCAGUUCCCGUGUGCCUCAAGUCCUCCAUCAUCGUGCCGGUGCCAAAAAAAUCCUCUGUCUCGUGCUUCAAUGAUUACCGGCCGGUCGCUCUGACACCGGUGAUCAUGAAGUGCUUUGAGAGGAUCAUCCUGAACCACAUCAAGGACAUCAUCCCUGCUACUCUGGACAGUCAUCAGUUCGCUUACAGGGAGAACCGAUCGACAGAGGACGCAGUCUCACUAGCCCUGCAUGCUACCCUGUCCCACCUGGAGCAUCCUGACACCUAUGUCAGGAUGUUAUUUGUGGACUUCAGUUCAGCCUUCAACACGGUGAUCCCGGACAAGCUGACACUGAAGCUCCACAACCUGGGUCUGCCUGCCUCCCUGUGCCUCUGGAUCAAAGACUUUCUCACCAAAAGGCCCCAAGUGGUGAGAAUCGGGGACUCAACAUCAUCCACUCUGAUCCUGAGCACAGGAACACCACAGGGGUGUGUCCUCAGCCUCGCCCUCUUCACUCUGUUCACCCACGACUGCUCUGCUAUCCAUUCCACAAACCUGGUUUUAAAGUUCGCCGACCACACCACCGUAGUGAGUCUCAUAUCCAACAAUGAUGAGACUCACUACAGAGAGGAAGUUCAGCACCUGACAGGAUGGUGUGCUGACAACAACCUCAUCCUGAACACCUCCAAGACCAAAGAGAUCAUUGUGGAUUUUAGAAGGACUAGAAAGGUGGCACCCCCCCCCCCCUCAUUAACGGGGAGGAGGUGGAGCGGGUGGACCACAUCAAGUUCGUGGGGAUCCACAUCACAUCUGACCUCACCUGGUCGCUGCACACAUCCCACCUGGUGA